rnacentral:rRNA from 1 species
UACGGGAGGCAGCAGUGGGGAAUAUUGGACAAUGGGGGGAACCCUGAUCCAGCCAUGCCGCGUGUGUGAAGAAGGUUUUGGUUGUAAAGCACUUUAAGCGAGGAGGAGGCUACCUUUGGUUAAUACCUAGAGAUAGUGGACGUUACUCGCAGAAUAAGCACCGGCUAACUCUGUGCCAGCAGCCGCGGU